rnacentral:rRNA from 1 species
AGCUUGCUGGGUGGAUUAGUGGCGAACGGGUGAGUAACACGUGAGUAACCUGCCCUUAACUCUGGGAUAAGCCUGGGAAACUGGGUCUAAUACCGGAUAGGAGCGCCUACCGCAUGGGGGGUGUUGGAAAGAUUUAUCGGUUUUGGAUGGACUCGCGGCCUAUCAGCUUGUUGGUGAGGUAAUGGCUCACCAAGGCGACGACGGGUAGCCGGCCUGAGAGGGUGACCGGCCACACUGGGACUGAGACACGGGCCAGACUCCUACGGGAGGCAGCAGUGGGGAAUAUUGCACAAUGGGCGCAAGCCUGAUGCAGCGACGCCGCGUGAGGGAUGACGGCCUUCGGGUUGUAAACCUCUUUCAGUAGGGAAGAAGCGAAAGUGACGGUACCUGCAGAAGAAGCACCGGCUAACUACGUGCCAGCAGCCGCGGUAAUACGUAGGGUGCGAGCGUUAUCCGGAAUUAUUGGGCGUAAAGAGCUCGUAUGCGGUUUGUCGCGUCUGUCGUGAAAGUCCGGGGCUUAACCCCGGAUCUGCGGUGGGUACGGGCAGACUAGAGUGCAGUAGGGGAGACUGGAAUUCCUGGUGUAGCGGUGGAAUGCGCAGAUAUCAGGAGGAACACCGAUGGCGAAGGCAGGUCUCUGGGCUGUAACUGACGCUGAGGAGCGAAAGCAUGGGGAGCGAACAGGAUUAGAUACCCUGGUAGUCCAUGCCGUAGACGUUGGGCACUAGGUGUGGGGACCAUUCCACGGUUUCCGCGCCGCAUCUAACGCAUUAAGUGCCCCGCCUGGGGAGUACGGCCGCAAGGCUAACACUCNAAGGAAUUGACGGGGGCCCGCACAAGCGGCGGAGCAUGCGGAUUAAUUCGAUGCAACGCGGAAGAACCUUACCAAGGCUUGACAUGUUCUCGAUCGCCGUAAAGAUACGGUUUCCCCUUUGGGGCGGGUUCACAGGUGGUGCAUGUUUGUCGCCAACUCCUGUCGGGAGAAGUUGGGUUAAGUCCCGGAACGAGGGGAAACCUUCGUU